AUUGAACGCUGGCGGCAGGCCUAACACAUGCAAGUCGAGCGAGCGGCGGACGGGUGAGUAAUGUAUGGGGACUGCCCGAUAGAGGGGGAUAACUACUGGCAACGGUAGCUAAUACCGCAUACUAUCGGAUAACCCAUAUGGGAUUAGCUAGGUGAUGAGGUAAUGGCUCACCAAGGCGACGAUCCCUAGCUGGUCUGAGAGGAUGAUCAGCCACACUGGGACUGGGACAAGGCCCAGACUCCAACGGAGGCAGCAGUGGGGAAUAUUGCACAAUGGGCGCAAGCAUGAUGCAGCCAGGCCGGGUGUAUGAAGAAGGACCUAGGGUUGUAAAGUACUUUCAGUCGGGAGGCGUUACCGACAGAAGAAGCACCGGCUAACUCCGUGCCAGCAGCCGCGGUAAUUC
rnacentral:rRNA from 1 species